AUUGAACGCUGGCGGCAGGCCUAACACAUGCAAGUCGAACGAGUGGCGGACGGGUGAGUAAUGUCUGGGAAACUGCCAGAUGGAGGGGGAUAACUACUGGAACCGGUAGCUAAUACCGCAUACCAUCGGAUGUGCCCAGAUGGGAUUAGCUAGUGGGUGGGGUAAAGGCUAACCAAGGCGACGAUCCCUAGCUGGUCUGCGAGGAUGAACGGCCACACUGUAACUGAGACACGGUCCAGACUCCUACGGGAGGCAGCAGUGGGGAAUAUUGCACAAUGGGCGCAAGCCUGAUACAGCCAUGCCGCGUGUGUGAAGAAGGCCUUCGGGUUGUAAAGUACUUUCAGCGGGGAAGCGUUACCCACAGAAGAAGCACCGGCUAACUCCGUGCCAGCAGCCGCGGUAAUUC
rnacentral:rRNA from 1 species